GCCUCCUUAGCUUAGUGGUGAAGCAGGGGUUUUGUAAACCUCAGUCGUGAGUUCGAUUCUCACAGGAGGCU
rnacentral:tRNA from 1 species